rnacentral:rRNA from 1 species
GACGAACGCUGGCGGCGUGCCUAAUACAUGCAAGUUGAGCGCUGAAGGUUGGUACUUGUACCAACUGGAUGAGCAGCGAGCGGGUGAGUAACGCGUGGGGAAUCUGCCUUUGAGCGGGGGACAACAUUUGGAAACGAAUGCUAAUACCGCAUAAAAACUUUAAACACAAGUUUUAAGUUUGAAAGAUGCAAUUGCAUCACUCAAAGAUGAUCCCGCGUUGUAUUAGCUAGUUGGUGAGGUAAAGGCUCACCAAGGCGAUGAUGCAUAGCCGACCUGAGAGGGUGAUCGGCCACAUUGGGACUGAGACACGGCCCAAACUCCUACGGGAGGCAGCAGUAGGGAAUCUUCGGCAAUGGACGAAAGUCUGACCGAGCAACGCCGCGUGAGUGAAGAAGGUUUUCGGAUCGUAAAACUCUGUUGGUAGAGAAGAACGUUGGUGAGAGUGGAAAGCUCAUCAAGUGACGGUAACUACCCAGAAAGGGACGGCUAACUACGUG